rnacentral:rRNA from 1 species
UACGUAGGGUGCGAGCGUUGUCCGGAAUUACUGGGCGUAAAGAGCUCGUAGGUGGUUUGUCGCGUUGUUCGUGAAAACUCACAGCUUAACUGUGGGCGUGCGGGCGAUACGGGCAGACUGGAGUACUGCAGGGGAGACUGGAAUUCCUGGUGUAGCGGUGGAAUGCGCAGAUAUCAGGAGGAACACCGAUGGCGAAGGCAGAUCUCUGGGCCGUAACUGACGCUGAGGAGCGAAAGCAUGGGGAGCGAACAGG